GUGACCUGCGGAGGAUCAUUAC
rnacentral:rRNA from 1 species